AAAAAGGGCUUUUGCUGUGAAUAGCACAGAGAAGGAAUGAUUAUUCGUUUCUUCUUUGCGGAAUCGAAAUCAAGAGAUUCCGGAAGCAUAAUUUUUGCAAAUUCUAACCUUGUUCCCUGCAGGGGUCAAUCUUCCC